GGGAAUAUAACUUAGUCAUAGAGCACUUGCCUAGCAACCAUGAAGCUCUGGGUUCAAUUCUCAGUAUUGCCA
rnacentral:tRNA from 1 species